rnacentral:rRNA from 1 species
GAUGAACGCUAGCGGCAGGCCUAACACAUGCAAGUCGAGGGGUAACAGGGAGCUUGCUCCGCUGACGACCGGCGCACGGGUGCGUAACGCGUAUAGAACCUACCUUUUACAGGGGGAUAGCCUUUAGAAAUGAAGAUUAAUAUCCCAUAGUAUUAUUAGAUGGCAUCAUUUAGUAAUUAAAGAUUUAUCGGUAAAAGAUGGCUAUGCGUCCUAUUAGUUAGUUGGUAAGGUAACGGCUUACCAAGACAUCGAUAGGUAGGGGUCCUGAGAGGGAGAUCCCCCACACUGGUACUGAGACACGGACCAGACUCCUACGGGAGGCAGCAGUGAGGAAUAUUGGGCAAUGGAGGAGACUCUGACCCAGCCAUGCCGCGUGUAGGAAGAAUGCCCUAUGGGUUGUAAACUACUUUUAUACAGGAAGAAACACU